UACGGGGGGGGGCAAGCGUUGUUCGGAAUUACUGGGCGUAAAGGGCUCGUAGGUGGCCAACUAAGUCAGACGUGAAAUCCCUCGGCUUAACCGGGGAACUGCGUCUGAUACUGGAUGGCUUGAGUUCGGGAGAGGGAUGCGGAAUUCCAGGUGUAGCGGUGAAAUGCGUAGAUAUCUGGAGGAACACCGGUGGCGAAGGCGGCAUCCUGGACCGACACUGACGCUGAGGAGCGAAAGCCAGGGGAGCAAAUGGG
rnacentral:rRNA from 1 species